UUCCAGAAGACUCAUAUUCAGUUCCCAGC
rnacentral:piRNA from 1 species